GAUGAAGAACGCAGCGAAAUGCGAUAAGUAAUGUGAAUUGCAGAAUUCAGUGAAUCAUCGAAUCUUUGAACGCACAUUGCGCCCUCUGGUAUUACGGGGGGCAUGCCUGUCCGAGCGUCAUUGCCGCCCUCAAGCACGGCUUGUGUGUUGGGCCCCCGCCCCCCGGCUUCGGGGGGCGGGCCCGAAAGGCAGCGGCGGCACCGCGUCCGGUCCUCGAGCGUAUGGGGCUUCGUCACCCGCUCUGUAGGCCCGGCCGGCGCCCGCCGGCGACCCCAAUCAAUCUUUCCAGGUUGACCUCGGAUCAGGUAGGGAUACCCGCUGAACUUAAGCAUAUCAAUAAGCGGAGGA
rnacentral:misc_RNA from 1 species